rnacentral:rRNA from 1 species
AGAUUGAACGCUGGCGGCAGGCCUAACACAUGCAAGUCGAGCGGCAGCACGGGUACUUGUACCUGGUGGCGAGCGGCGGACGGGUGAGUAAUGCCUAGGAAUCUGCCUGAUAGUGGGGGGAUAACGUUCGGAAACGGACGCUAAUACCGCAUACGUCCUACGGGAGAAAGUGGGGGAUCUUCGGACCUCACGCUAUCAGAUGAGCCUAGGUCGGAUUAGCUAGUUGGUAGGUAAAGCCUACCAAGGCUACGAUCCGUAACUGGUCUGAGAGGAUGAUCAGUCACACUGGAACUGAGACACGGUCCAGACUCCUACGGGAGGCAGCAGUGGGGAAUAUUGGACAAUGGGCGAAAGCCUGAUCCAGCCAUGCCGCGUGUGUGAAGAAGGUCUUCGGAUUGUAAAGCUAACUUUAAGGUUGGAAGGAAGGCAAGUUAAACCUAAUACGUUAGUGUUUUAGACGUUUACGACAGAAUAAGCACCGGUCUAACUCUGUGCCAGCAGCCG